AGAUCAGUCACAUCAUCAAAAUGAAGCUAGCAUCUUUGUUCCUUGUAUUGCUCAUUGCUGUAGCAGCUGAAUGCUCCCUAAAAGCCAAGUAUUUUAGCGACUUCCCCCCUUUCUCAUCUGCAGUAGUUCCAGAGGAAGGCGCGGUAGGAAGUGAUGCAACGGGUGAAUCAAGACCAUAUUAUAUUCCACCAGGGGCAGAAGAAUGGAAGGAGCGUUUACUAGCUUGAAUAUUACAAUGAACUGUUAAUAUUAAAUCUGAAUUGAUAUGCCCACAGACCGAAAAUUAUUUCUAAAAUUAAAAUAAUGAUUGAAUAUCAAUAAUUAAUUAAAAGGAUUGAUGCACAUA